GAUGAACGCUAGCUACAGGCUUAACACAUGCAAGUCGAGGGGAAACGAUAGAGAAAGCUUGCUUUUUCUAGGCGUCGACCGGCGCACGGGUGAGUAACGCGUAUCCAACCUGCCCAUCACUUGGGGAUAACCUUGCGAAAGUAAGACUAAUACCCAAUGAUAUCUCUAGAAGACAUCUGAAAGGGAUUACAGAUUUAUCGGUUAUGGAUGGGGAUGCGUCUGAUUAGCUUGUUGGCGGGGUAACGGCCCACAAAGGCGACGAUCAGUAGGGGUUCUGAGAGGAAGGUCCCCCACAUUGGACCUGAGACACGGUCCAAACUCCUACGGGAGGCAGCAGUGAGGAAUAUUGGUCAAUGGGCGAGAGCCUGAACCAGCCAAGUAGCGUGCAGGAUGACGGCCCUAUGGGUUGUAAACUGCUUUUAUAAGGGAAUAAAGUGAGUCUCGUGAGACUUUUUGCAUGUACCUUAUGAAUAAGGACCGGCUAAUUCCGUGCCAGCAGCCGCCGUAA
rnacentral:rRNA from 1 species